GUCAACUCCAACGGGGACAUUCUUCAGAAAGAAAAGCCUAAAUAAGGAUUUGUUCAACGGACCAUAACCAUUCAUGGCUCAAAGAGGGUUAUACUACUUUUGUGCCUGGAAACGUUUCUAGCAAAGUCUUCAUUUCCUGGACCAAAGGAUGUGUGAUUUAUGCGAAGAUCUGCCCUCCUGUUGCCUCAUGGGCUGGGACCUUUGGAGAGACUCUUUGUGUAUUCUCAAGAAAGGCUUAGUAUUUAGAAGGUGCUCCACUCCUUUUCUGAGAAGACUCUUUCCCUGAUUCUCUUCCAAAGCCCUGAUUAGAAUGAAACUAACAUCUAUUUGAAAAGGUUUCCUAGUGUGUGAUGUGAAUCUUCAAGAAGGAAAUAUGGUAAAUAUCUGAGUGGAAUGACUGGAUCAUAUGAUAAGGAGUUCAUAUGCUGGAAUGAUAGUGACACAGGAGUUUAACACUCCUACAGUAUCCAGAGCCUGGAUCCCUGAGUCAUCAGAUGGAGAAGAACUACUCAGGAGAGUCAUCCAACCUUCAUAGACAGUGGCAUGAGUGGGAAUUAAACAUUGAUUAUGUUAAGCCAUUGCAGUUUGGGGUUGUUUGUUACAGAAGUGUUCAUUUUCCCUUAUUGACCCA
rnacentral:lncRNA from 10 species